rnacentral:rRNA from 1 species
CAAGUCGAACGGAGCUGCACCUCUGAAGUUUCGGAUGGACGAGGUACAAGCUUAGUGGCGAACGGGUGAGUAACACGUGAAGAACCUGCCCUUCAGUGGGGGACAACAGUUGGAAACGACUGCUAAUACCGCAUAAGACCACAGUACCGCAUGGUACAGUGAUCAAAGGAUUUAUUCGCUGAAGGAUGGCUUCGCGUCCGAUUAGGUAGUUGGUGAGGUAACGGCCCACCAAGCCUACGAUCGGUAGCCGGACUGAGAGGUUGAUCGGCCACAUUGGGACUGAGACACGGCCCAGACUCCUACGGGAGGCAGCAGUGGGGAAUAUUGCACAAUGGAGGAAACUCUGAUGCAAGCGACGCCGCGUGAGGGAAGAAGGUCUUCGGAUUGUAAACCUCUGUCUUCAGGGACGAUAAUGACGGUACCUGAGGAGGAAGCACCGGCUAACUACGUGCCAGCAGCAGC